CCUACGGGCGGCUGCAGUGAGGAAUAUUGGUCAAUGGACGAGAGUCUGAACCAGCCAAGCAGCGUGCAGGAUGACUGCCCUAUGGGUUGUAAACUUCUUUUAUAUGGGAAUAAAAUGGUCCACGUGUGGGAUUUUGUACGUACCAUAUGAAAAAGGAUCGGCUAACUCCGUGCCAGCAGCCGCGGUAAUACGGAGGAUCCGAGCGUUAUCCGGAUUUAUUGGGUUUAAAGGGUGCGGAAGUGGAUUGUUAAGUCAGUGGUGAAAGUUUGCGGCUCAACCCUAAAAUUGCAGUUGAAACUGGCAGUCUUGAGUACGGUAGAGGUAGGCGGAAUGCGUGGUGUAGCGGUGAAAUGCGUAGAUAUAGCGCAGAACUCCGAUUGCGAAGGCAGCUUACUGGGCUGCCACUGACGCUGAGGCACGAAAGUGUGGGGAUCAAACAGGAUUAGAUACCCCAGUAGUC
rnacentral:rRNA from 1 species